CCUACGGGUGGCAGCAGUGGGGGAUAUUGCACAAUGGGGGGAACCCUGAUGCAGCGACGCCGCGUGGGUGAAGAAGCGCCUCGGCGCGUAAAGCCCUGUCAGCGGGGAAGAAAAUGACGUUACCUGAAGAAGAAGCCCCUGCCAACUACGUGCCAGCAGCCGCGGUAAUACGUAGGGGGCAAGCGGUAGCCGGAUUUACUGGGUGUAAAGGGGGCGCAGACGGCGAGGCAAGCCAGGAGUGAAAGCCCGGGGCCCAACCCCGGGACUGCUCUUGGAACUGCGUGGCUGGAGUGCAGGAGGGGGAGGUAGAAUUCCUGGUGUAGCGGUGAAAUGCGUAGAGAUCAGGAGGAACACCGGUGGCGAAGGCGGCCUGCUGGACUGCAACUGACGUUGAGGCCCGAAAGCGUGGGGAGCAAACAGGAUUAGAUACCCUUGUAGUC
rnacentral:rRNA from 1 species